rnacentral:rRNA from 1 species
UGAACGCUGGCGGUCUGUUACACAUGCAGUCGAACGCACCUUCGGGUUGAGUGGCGGACGGGUGAGUAACGCGUGAGAAUUGCCUUGGGGUCGGGGACACCACUGGAAACGGUGGCUAAGUACGGAUAAGCCUUUGGGUAAAAGAUUUAUUGCCCCAAGAGGAGCUCGCGUCUGAUUAGCUAGUUGGUGAGGUAAAAGCUCACCAAGGCAGCGAUCAGUAGCUGGUCUGAGAGGACGAUCAGCCACACUGGGACUGAGACACGGCCCAGACUCCUACGGGAGACAGCAGUGGGGAAUUUUCCGCAAUGGGCGAAAGCCUGACGGAGCAAGACCGCGUGAGGGAGGAAGGCUCUUGGGUUGUAAACCUCUUUCCUCAGGGAAGAAGCUCUGACGGUACCUGAGGAAUCAGCCUCGGCUAACUCCGUGCCAGCAGCCGCGGUAAUACGGAGGAGGCAAGCGUUAUCCGGAAUUAUUGGGCGUAAAGCGUCCGCAGGUGGCGAUUCAAGUCUGCUGUCAAAGCACGGGGCUUAACUCCGUUAAGGCAGUGGAAACUGAAUAGCUAGAGUGCCGUACGGGUAGAGGGAAUUCCCGGUGUAGCGGUGAAAUGCGUAGAGAUCGGGAAGAACAUCGGUGGCGAAAGCGCUCUAACUGGACGGCAACUGACACUCAGGGACGAAAGCUACGGGAGCGAAUGGGAUUAGAUACCCCAGUAGUCCUAGCUGUAAACGAUUGGAUACUACGUGUAGCUUGUAUCGACCCG